GCCUUCAUGGUGUAAUGGUCAGCACACUCAGUGGGUACUCGAGAGGUCCGAGGUUCAAUUUCCGGUGAGGCCA
rnacentral:tRNA from 1 species